rnacentral:tRNA from 1 species
AGUAAGUUGGCAGAAUAGUGCCAUCAACUUAGGAUUGAUUCAAGGAUUAGUCCACUUACUA